rnacentral:misc_RNA from 1 species
UUUCCGUAGGUGAACCUGCGGAAGGAUCAUUAAAGAGUAAGGGUCUUCGGGCCCGAUCUCCAACCCUUUGUUUGACUACCAUGUUGCUUUGGCGGGCCCGUCUCACGACCGCCGGAAGUUUGGCUUCGACCAAACUUCUGGCCCGUGCCCGUCAGUGGCCCCUUCAAAUUCUUGAUCAAGUAUGAUGUCUUAGUUAAAAACUUAAUAGUUAAAACUUUCAACAACGGAUCUCUUGGUUCUG